ensembl:lncRNA
CGUGGCUGAUUUCUAAGCAUCACUCCUUGUGAAGACCAGGAAGGAAUGUUUUUGCACUCUCACCCUGACUAAAGUGGUCCUCAAGUCAGUCUAGGGUCUGAAGCAUUGAGGACACUCGGGAGGAGUCGUCAGAGGGUCUCAGAGGAAUCUAGCUCAGAAGGAGAGGUUGAGGCAAUCAAGAUGGUUCAUCUCUAUAAAGAGAAGGCUGAGGGGAUACCAAAUGUCUUUCUUUAAAUACCUGAAAUUGUUCUUGAGAGCGACUGGUGAAUAUGCCACUUAAAACCUUGGAUCAAGGACUUUUCUCAGGCACGAGGAAGCACUCCCUCCUCCGGACGGAUGCAAGCACUGGCAUGGAGCCCGCAGGGGACCUGGCUGCCUCUAAGACGUGGUGAGUACGGGGACAGGCCCCAGCUCUGCUGGCUGACCAGGCACAGCCCUACCAUGGAGUGGGUGGACGAGAUGGCCUCCCAUCGGGGCCUGGGAAUCACCUCCUCUGCUGGCCCAGCAGGUUCUCUCCCAUGCUGCUGCUGUGAUGAGUCUCACUCUGUCACCAAGGCUGGAAUGCAGCGGGGUGAUCUCGGCUCACUGCAACCUCUGCUUCCCAAGUUCAAGUGAUUCUCCUGCCUCAGCCUCCCAAGUAGCUGGGACCACAGGACCACAGAUGGGUGUCAUCAUUCCUGGCUAAUUUUUUAAAUGGAGAUGGGGUUUUGUCAUGUUGGCCAGGCUAGUCUUGAACUCCUGACGUCAGAUGAUCCAUCCACCUUGGCCUCCCAAAGUACUGGAAUUACAGGCAUGAGCCACUGCACCCAGCUGAUGAGCCCAUCUUGACACCUGACUACUAACUCAAGGCAUGGCUUACAUUGGAUUCACUCUUUGUGUACAGUUUUACGGAUUUUGACAAAUUAUAGUGUCACCCAGAAAAGCUUCACUGACCUAAAAAUCCCCUGUGCUCCACCUACCCAUAAUUCCCCCUCUUUCCCAAUCCCUGGCAACCACUGAUUUUUUUACUGUCUUCAUAGUUUUGCCAUUUUCAUAAUGUUACCGUGUUGGGCUACUCUUGUGUUGCUAUAAAGAAAAAUCUGAGACUGAGUACUUCAUAAAGAAAAGAGGUUUAAUUGGCUCAUGGUUCUGCAGGAUGUACAGGAAGCAGGGUGCUGGCAUCUGCUCAGCUUCUGGCAAGGCCUCAGGAAACUUACAAUCUUAUAAAGAUGAAGAAAGAGCAGGGAUCUCACAUGGCCAGAGCAGGAACAAAAGGUUGGGGAGAUCUCGUGAGAACUCACUCAGGAUUGCAAGGAUAGUACUAAGCCAUGAGGGAUCUGCCCCCAUGACCCAAACACCUUUCACCAGGCCCCACUUCCACUGGGGAUUAUAACUCCAUAUGAGAUUUAGAGAGGACAAAUUCAAACUAUAUCAGCCAUAUAGUUGGAAUUAUGCAGUAUGUAAUGUUUUCAGAUUGACAUCUUUACUUAGCAAUACACCUUUAAGUUUCCUCGAUGUCUUUCCAUAGCUCAACCACUCAUUUCUUUUUAGCACUGAAUAAUAUUCUGUUGUCUGGAUGUACCACAGUUUAUUUAUAUGUAUCACAUGCUGAAGGCAUCUUGAUUGCUUCCAAGUUUUGGAAAUUAUAAACAAAGCAGCUAUAACCAUCUUUGUGCAUGUUUUUGUGAAUAUGUAAGUUUUCAACUCAUCUGGGUAAACCAAAGCAAUAUGAUUAUUAAAUUGUAUAUUCAGAGCAUAUUUAGUUUUGUAAAAGAUUGCCAAACUGUCUUUCAAAGUGGCGAUAGCAUUGUGCAUUCCCACCAGCAAUUAAUGAGAGUUCCUGUUGCUCCACAUCCUCGUCAGCAUUUGGGGAUGUCAGUGUUUUGGAUUUUGUCAUUCUAAUAAGUGUGUAGUGGUAUCUCACUGUUUAAAUUUGCUGUUCCAUAAUGGCAUAUGAUGU